AGAAUCAACGCUGGCGGCGUGCCUAACACAUGCAAGUCGCACGAGAAAGGGGACUUCGGUCCCUGAGUACAGUGGCGCACGGGUGAGUAACACGUGAAUCAUCUACCUUCGAGUGGGGAAUAACUGAGAGAAAUCUUAGCUAAUACCGCAUAAUACCCACGGGUCAAAGCAGCAAUGCGCUUGAAGAGGAGUUCGCGGCAGAUUAGUUAGUUGGCGGGGUAAUGGCCCACCAAGACGAUGAUCUGUA
rnacentral:rRNA from 1 species